UUUUUUUUUUUUUUUUUUUUGUGUGUCUCCCCACAUCCCCUCCCCCAUUUGCCUUUGCCUGUUUAUUUUGUAAAGUGAACUCUUCCUGGACUUGGUGUUUGUUGUUUUCCCAGAGUCCUCCAGAUCUCGCUAAAGUAAAGCUCAUGUUCUUAACGUCAGUUCAAAUUCUUUGGUAUUUUUGGACCUUCUCUUAUUUAUUUACCAUCUUCUACUGCACCACAGCAUUGGAGAUUGGUCCAUAAAUUUACAUUUCUAAAGUGCGCCUAUUCUUCUCUAUUUUGUGAUGGGCAGUUUCCUGGGGGCAAGAAAGUCAGCUCAGGGUGCUGAGAAACUUCUGUGGGUGGAAAGGAAAACAGCAAAAUGACAGCAGGAAAGUUGUCUGCCACCAGCCCCACCAACAACCCUCUCUGUCCCUGUGGUAGCUACAAAGGGCUUUUUCAGCUGGGGUGGUGAACAGACAGUGGACCUCUUCAAACCCACCAACUCUGUUUCCAUAGGUAUUAUUUUCUUUUGAAAACUGCCUGAAGAAGAACCUUGUGAAGUGUUUUUCAAAUGGAGAUACAGGAAGAACAAAGGGGCAGGCACCCUGGAGUGUUUUUUUCUUGCUUGCAGGACAAAGAGGAAAGAAAAAAAAAGAAAGGAAUGGAGUAGAUCAGUGGUUUUGAAGUGUAGUUUUGGAGUUCCUGUCGUGGUUCCUCGGGUUAAGGACUGGACUUUUUCUCUGUGAGGAUGCAGGUUUGAUCCCUGUCCUCAAUCUGUGGGUUAAGGGUCCGACAUUGCUACAUGGCUGCUGCAUAGUUUGCAGCUUCAGCUCCGAUUCGGCCCCUAGUCUAGAACUUCCAUAUGUUGCAGGUGUGACCAUAAAAAAAAAGAAGAAGAAGAAGAAGAAGAAGAAGAAAAUGUAGUUUUGAGACCAACAGUAUCAUCUGAGAACUUACUAGAAAUACAGUAUCUCUGGCCUACUAACUCAGAAACUCUGAGAGUGCGUUUACCAGUCUGUGUUCUAGCAAGCCCUCCAAGUGAUUCCAACAGAUGCUGAAGACUGAGAAUCUAAGACAGUUUUACCUCUUCACCCUCAAUAAUAAAACCUCAUCUCUGCUGCCAAGCGCCACCACGUUGGGGGAUUUUCAGGAUGUGAAGGGCUGGGCUGUGGAGACCAGGAGAGGAGGCUUCCUUUUGCCUAGGGAAUAUUUUUCUUUACUUGGAUGAUAAAAAACCAUCCAGAAUAGGUAAGGACAGAAGGAAUAGCACAGACUGAAAUGAGACUGACACUUUCUGUUGUGUUUCCAAAAGCCAACGAAGAAGGGAAAGUUCCCCUUCGAUGCUAAACUUUCUAAGAUUGAAAGUGGAAGAAAAAAAGAAGAAGACCAAGAAGUUCCCUGGUGACCUAAUGGUUAAGGAUCUGACCUUGUCAUUGCUGUGGCUUGGGUUAGAUCCCUGGAAUGGGAACUUCCUCAUGCCAUAGGCGCGGCCAAAGAAAAAAUUAAUGGAAACAUAUUUAGAUUCUUCUUUAAAUAUUACAUGUAUCCAUAAUAAUGGCUACUAUGAACAGAUGACAUGCAUUGCUGAACAUGGUCAGCUUUACUUCAUUUGUUGAGUGGAACACGACUCAGUGGGUCUGCAGAGAGCCCACAUAACUGAAGGAGUAUGGCCCUGGCCCAUGGGUCCACUGUACUGGAACCCGUCUUUGAACCUGCUUCUCUGCAGAGGCCAAUUCUCAUCCCAAUGGUUCUCAGCCUUGGCUGUGGCCUGUAUUAACCCCAGGAGUUUUAAGGAGUGUGGGUACUUGGGUCCAGCCCCAGAGCCCUGAUAUAUUAGGUCAGGGGCAUUGCCAGAGCCUGGAGAUUUCAUAAGCUCCCCUUGGAUUCUGAUGAACCCAGGGCUAAGGCCACUGUCUUACCAUGUCUGUAGCGAAGUGGUUCACAGUCCUGGAAGCAAAUUAGAAUCACUUGUUUCCUCUUCAAACCAAACCAGUGGCCAAUCCGUCCAGUCUUCUGGGACUGGUAUUUAAUUGAUCUGGGGUGGGGCCGAUCAUUGAGUUGUUCUAGAAUAUGGUGGGUGGGGAGAUCACUGUUCUGAGAACAAAGAGGGGCUAUGACUAGUUUUGAAAUAAUGACCCGACCCUGCCAUUAUCACUGCUGAUUAAGUCCUCACCCAGAAUGAGCUUGGGUUGUCUCUGAACAGCAGGAAUCAGACAGUUUAGUUCAGGAUUAUUGACGAUUCAAAUAAGUGCUGUGUGUGAGUGUGUGUGUGCCUCGUAAGGACAAAUAUGAAUAAAACAUAAGAGGCUUAAUUCCCCCUUUUGAAAAUAAGGGGAGAAAUUUCCCUUCUCUCCCUAUCAGAACAUUUACCUUAAAAGUUACAUAACAGUUACUUUAAAAAUGAAAUAAGCCUUUGCCAGCUUUAUGAUCAGGAAGGUCUUUCUUGAGGGCCUAAGAAGAACCCCUUUGAUGGUCAACCUCCAGGGAGAUGGUGCCCUACCUUCUGGUCUCAGUGAGGGUGGGAACCUAAGUCCCUCCAAGUUGCAGAACAACUUCUAGUUUUCUGGUUAAAGUCUAUUAGCUAACACAGAUGGUUACCCCAGUUCCCAAGUAGAGGUGAUGGUAGGAGACCACUGACCAAAACUGCCUACCUUGGCCAAGCAUGAUAAUAGCCACUUGCAUGAGGUGUCACAGCAGGAGACCCUGAUAAGGACCAUGGGGCUGCCCUGAAGACUAACCAGGAGGAUUGGGGAGGAGCCAGUAGGAGGGAGGAGAUGACCAACCUCCCAGGAUCCUUGGCGCUGGAAUACAUCUUGGUUGAGAGGUGCAUGCACCACUAAGAACUAAGACUAAAUACGGGCCAGACUAAGUAUGGGCCAAGCAAGAUGAUUUGUUAGAAACAACCCAGAAACUAACCACAUUCCCAUAAAACCGGAGAUGGCAAGCCACGUGGCAGAGCAGUUCUUCUGGGUUCCCUGCUGCUCUCUGUCCAGGCGCCCCUUCCAAAUAAAGUCUGCUGUGUCAACACCUUUGUCUCCUCGGACAAUUCAUUUGUGAGUGUUAGACAGGAGCCCAUUCUCAGGCCCUGGAAGGGGUCUUCCUUCCUGAAAUAUUAGGAUGAACUAUGUAUGACCAAUAGCCUGUCAAGUCCUCCACCCUGAGGACUAGUUAUUAUUUAUCUUGAAAACUUGUGUCAUCUGUUAUAUCUGCAGGCUGGAUGAAAGGGCAAAUAUGUCCAUUUUCAACCUCUGCAUCUUUUAGCAGAUGACCUGUGAUGCGUACCACAUUCUGGUUUAAUGCUUACCUGGUAAAAACUGACUCUCUGGAUAGGAUUUCUGGAUUGGGAGAAGACUUUUUUAAAAAGUUCUAUUUCCCUGGCAGCACUUAUAUAUGCACGUGUGUAUAUAUGUGUAUGUGUGUGUAUUGAAGGUGAGGGAUUGAGCAUGCUAAGGUUCCUGCCCCCCAUUUUUAUGCCCCAUUUGCCACAGCUUUUAUCUUUUUCAAUUUGGUUUUCCUUAUAAGGUUUACAUGAGAAGAGGCUUUGCUCUACUUUGCCAAAAAGGUUUGAAUGCCAGUGAGGGUAGUUUUUCUGGGUCCCCGUGGCUCUGACCUUCCAGGCAUCUAUGGCUCAGGCCAGGACCACAGCCUCCACUCUCCUGGAUGUCCUGAUGCAGCCAGGGUACCACCUCUGUGUGAAGGGAGCUGGGAUAAUGCUCUUAGGGGAGGGAGGAGUGCUCCUGGAAUUGCUCCUAGUGGUAGUGGUGGUGUAAUUACAGGGUGGGGAUAGACUUAAAGCAUGGGGGUUGUGGGGGUGAAGGUUUGGGGGUGUGUGGGUGUGUGUAUGCAGUGGUAGAAGUGGAGGACUGGAGGGAGUUCCCUUCGUGGCUCAGCAGUUAAGGAACCCGAUUAGGAUCCCUGAGGACAGGGAUUUGAUCCCUGGCCUCGAUCACAAUGGGUUAAGGAUCCAGCGUUGCCAUGAACUGUGGUAUAGGUUGCAGACCCAAGUUGCUGUGGUUGUGGCAUAGGCCAGCGACGGUUACAGCUCCAAUUUGACCCCUAUCCUGGGAACUUACACAUGCUGCAAGUGCAGUC
rnacentral:lncRNA from 1 species